rnacentral:rRNA from 1 species
GAUGAACGCUGGCGGCGUGCCUAAUACAUGCAAGUCGAGCGAACAGACGAGGAGCUUGCUCCUCUGACGUUAGCGGCGGACGGGUGAGUAACACGUGGAUAACCUACCUAUAAGACUGGGAUAACUUCGGGAAACCGGUGCUAAUACCGGAUAAUAUAUUGAACCGCAUGGUUCAAUAGUGAAUGACGGUUUUGCUGUCACUUAUAGAUGGAUCCGCGCCGCAUUAGCUAGUUGGUAAGGUAACGGCUUACCAAGGCGACGAUGCGUAGCCGACCUGAGAGGGUGAUCGGCCACACUGGAACUGAGACACGGUCCAGACUCCUACGGGAGGCAGCAGUAGGGAAUCUUCCGCAAUGGGCGAAAGCCUGACGGAGCAACGCCGCGUGAGUGAUGAAGGUCUUCGGAUCGUAAAACUCUGUUAUUAGGGAAGAACAAAUGUGUAAGUAACUAUGCACGUCUUGACGGUACCUAAUCAGAAAGCCACGGCUAACUACGUG